UCCUGAAGACAUCCGGGCCGUGCUUCUGGGGCCGCCCAGAGCCAGCAAGGGUAUCCAGGCACCCAAGUUGACUGAAAACUUCUGUGUCUGCCAUUUGGCUACUGGGGACAUGCUGAGGGCUAUGGUGGCUUCUGGCUCAGAGCUGGGAAAAAAGCUGAAGGCAACUAUGGAUGCUGGGAAACUGGUGAGCGAUGAAAUGGUCGUGGAGCUCAUUGAGAAGAAUUUGGAGACGCCUCCAUGCAAAAGUGGUUUUCUUCUAGAUGGCUUCCCUCGGACUGUGAGGCAGGCAGAAAUGCUUGAUGACCUCAUGGAGAAGAGGAAAGAACAGCUUGAUUCUGUGAUUGAAUUCAGCAUCCCAGACUCUCUGCUGACGCGGAGAAUCACAGGAAGACUGAUUCACCCCGAGAGUGGCCGUUCCUACCACGAGGAGCUCAACCCCCCAAAGGAGCCCAUGAAAGAUGAUAUCACCGGGGAACCCUUGGUCCGCCGAUCAGAUGAUAAUGAGAAGGCCUUGAAAAUCCGCCUGGAGACCUAUCACACUCAGAGUGCCCCGCUGGUGGAGUACUACAGUAAACGGGGGAUCCACUCUGCCAUCGACGCAUCCCAGACCCCUGACGCUGUGUUUGCAAGCAUCCUAGCAGCCUUCUCCAAAGCCACCUCCUAGUAACAGAAUGCCAGGCGAGACUGCACCACUGCUCAUCACCCUGCGGUGUGAUCCCUGCUCUUAGGUGCUGGGCAGAGGGGAGGGGUGGUCAGGGUAAGGAUGGAGAGG